rnacentral:rRNA from 1 species
UGCGCCUUGCCAGCCCGCUCAGAAACUUAAAGGAAUUGACGGGACCCCGCACAAGCGGUGGAUCAUGUUGUUUAAUUCGAUGAUACGCGAAGAACCUUACCAGGUCUUGACAUCCCCCGCGAUGCUUUAGAGAUAAAGCGGAGGUAUUCGGGGAGACAGGUGGUGCAUGGUUGUCGUCAGCUCGUGUCGUGAGAUGUUGGGUUAAGUCCCGCAACGAGCGCAACCCCUAUUGCUAGUUACCAUCAUUAAGUUGGGGACUCUAGCGAGACUGCCAGUGAUAAACCGGAGGAAGGUGGGGAUGACGUCAAGUCCUCAUGGCCUUUAUGACCAGGGCUACACACGUACUACAAUGGCCGAUACAAAGGGCAGCGACACUGCGAGGUGAAGCCAAUCCCGUAAAAUCGGUCUCAGUCCGGAUUGGAGUCUGCAACUCGACUCCAUGAAGUUGGAAUCGCUAGUAAUCGUGGAUCAGCAUGCCACGGUGAAUACGUUCCCGGGCCUU